rnacentral:rRNA from 1 species
AACGAACGCUGGCGGCAUGCCUAACACAUGCAAGUCGAACGAGACCUUCGGGUCUAGUGGCGCACGGGUGCGUAACGCGUGGGAACCUUCCCUUAGGUUCGGACUAACUCCCCGAAAGGGGUGCUAAUACCGGAUAAUGUCUUCGGACCAAAGAUUUAUCGCCUUUGGAUGGGCCCGCGUUGGAUUAGCUAGUUGGUAGGGUAAAAGCCUACCAAGGCGACGAUCCAUAGCUGGUCUGAGAGGAUGAUCAGCCACACUGGGACUGAGACACGGCCCAGACUCCUACGGGAGGCAGCAGUGGGGAAUAUUGGACAAUGGGCGAAAGCCUGAUCCAGCUAUGCCGCGUGAGUGAUGAAGGCCUUAGGGUUGUAAAGCUCUUUUACCCGGGAUGAUAAUGACAGUACCGGGAGAAUAAGCCCCGGCUAACUCCGUG